UGCAGCAGUAAGAAGGCAGGGGGAAGCACAGAUAGGAAAAUCGCGCCUAAUCAGAUUUCUGAAUGAACUGUCAAGUAUAACAUAAGGUGUGUGCCCCACAAGACAGCUGCUUGGGGUUUUUAUACGCCAUUGUCCACAUAGAGACCCAGCCACAAACCAUGGAGCAUAUGGAAAAUGUGAACUUGCUACCAGGGCAGAAACAUGAAGAGCAAGUACCAUCUUUCAAGUUUUCUGAUUCCAUGGAAAAAGAUUUGUUAUCACAGUAGACGGAAGCAAUGUGUCCUUGACAGAUAUUUGUUUUAACAAACACUUUAAAAUAGACAUCCAUAUCUGUAACCAUGCAAGAAAAUAAUGCUAUUUUGUUUCUUCAGAUUUGCAGUAUGUACCCAAUAAAACACAAUUCAGAUUCUCAUGUCAC